rnacentral:tRNA from 1 species
GGGAAGGUGGCUCAGUGGUAGAGUGCUUGCCUUGCAUGCAUGAGGUUUUUUUUCCU